rnacentral:ncRNA from 2 species
AUUUAAUUAAAGUUUUUCACUUGUAUAUCCCUUGAAUAAGGCGAGGAGUAUCUACCGAGAACCGUAAAAUCUCGACUAUAAGUGAUUUUUAUGCAUAU